rnacentral:lncRNA from 1 species
CCCCACCUCUGUCCCGUCACACGUCCUCGAACCCCCACGCUCACCGCUCGCACCCUCAAUCCCUGCCUCCCCGGGGCUCCACGGCCCCGCUCCUGCCACCGACUCCUUCCACCACCUCCCUGCCGCGGCAGCGCCUGCUGCCCUCGGCGUGCCCUGUGCCCGCCUUCCCUGAAGGCCACCCUGUGUGGCCGCGGCCCCUUGGGCUCCCUCCAUGCCCCCUGAGGUCCUCAACUCACCCCCCAAGCUGUGGCCAGUCUCCAGCCCCGAGGGCUGGCCCCGAGGGAGGAGGAACGCCCCCAGAGCCCACCUUUGGGGCUUGGCCCCCAGCCCCAGACGCCCGUGCCCACAGGCAGUCAGGGGCUCCACCGCAAGCAGCUAAACAUGACUUUGGUAAAAGUUUCUGAAGGUACCGACAAACCCCGUGAGAACAAGCUCUUCUCCCCCCACCCCCCAAACACCCCACCAAGUACAAUAAAAUACAAUAAACUCCAAAAAGGACCCCCUGAGAUCAAAGAGAGACAGAGAAAGACAGAGAGAGAGAGAGAGAGAGAGAGAGAGAGAGAGAAAGACCAGCCCAGGUCCAGCUGUAGUCAUAACGCCCAGCCCGCCUUCCUGGGGCGAAGACACCAGCCGACCGACUCGCCGUUGCUGGAGACCUAAGUGGACCCAGGGGUCCCCCCCCCCUCACCCCUGGGGGUGGCAGAGCCCAGAUCUGGGACAGGAGAGAGGCAGAGGCAGGGAAGGAGGUGGGGAAAGCCAGAGAGGUAGACAAGGGAUGAGAGAGAGGGGAUAGACACAAGGAACGUGUUCGCAGAGGGGAGGCAGAGGGGACAACACACAGCGGGUGGGGUGGGGAGGGAAGGGGCAGGACGGGCGGCUCUCUCCCGGGCCCUGGGGGCCGCCCCAGCCCAGAGGUUACGACUGAAUAAAUAGCGAGUCUGCUCGUGGCCUGCUGUCUUCCGUUCACAGUGUCUGUCAGG